AGUGGCCAUGCUGUGAGGUCACUGAGGAAGCCUCUGGAGGAGGCAGCCCACACGAGGAGGAACGAGGCCUCCCACCAACAGCCACGUGGGCACACCAUCUUGGAUGUGGUUCCUCUAGCCUCAGUCAAGCCUUCAGAUGCCUGCAACCCCUGCCAGCAUCCUCACUGCAACUUGAUGAGUGAUCACCCAGCUAAGCCACUGCUGGAUUUGUAACCCACAGAAACUGGGAGCAGGGCAUCGCAUGGCCUCGACGGGGAUUACCCAUAGGAGAGAUGAGUUUUGCUGAGAACGCCUGAGUGAGCAUGGAGCAGAGCUCCGUGAGCACCUGCACCCAGCUGGGAGAAACCAGGAGCUCAUGAAGUGUCUGAGACAUUGGGUUAAAGCACACACAUUUAAAGAGACGAGGAAAAGAAAAGAGACGCAGCGUUCUCGUUCUCCUUCUCAGGAUUACGAAAGAGGCGACUGGGUUGGCACCCUAGGGAGGUUCCCACAUGCACUGCAGUGCCUGAGGCAGGCCAGUCUCACAGGAGCCUCUUAGGGAUCAACGAAAUGUGGUCUGCCUGUACUGUGGCAGAUUACUAGGACAUAAAAGGAAUGAAGUACUGAUCCAUGCUACAAUGUGGAUGAACCUUGGUAACACUGUGCUGAGCGAAAGCAGCCAAUCACAAAAGGCCACAUAUCGUAUGAUCCAAUUAUACAAAAUGUCCAGAACAGGGAAACCCAGGAAAGAAAGCAGAGAGGUGGGUGCCAGGAGCUGGGGGAGGCAGGAACAGAGAGUGACUGCUAAUUGGUAUGGGGUUUCCUUUCGGAAAAUGGAAAUGUUCUGGAACUAGGGGUGGUGGCUGCAUAACCUCUUGAAAAAUGCUAAAAACCACUGAGCUGCAGGCUUUAAAAGGGUAUUUCUGUGGUAUAUGAAUUAUAUGCUAAUUGGAAGAAAGGAGCUGGCUGGACGCAGUGGCUCAUGCCUAUAAUCCCAGCACUUUGGGAGGCCAAAGCAGGUGAAUUGCUUGAGCCCAGGAGUUCGAGACCAGCCUGAGCAACAUGGCAAAACUUCAUUUCUACAAAAAAACUUAAAAAAAAAAAUUAGCCGGACACAGUGGUGCAUGCCUGUGAUCCCAGCUACUCAGGAGGCUAAGGUGGGAGGAUCGCUUGAGCCUGGGAAGUCGAGGCUGCAGUGAGCCACGAUCGUGCCACUGCACU